AAUAAAGAAUAAGAUACAGAACAUUAUUAUGCCUUGUCUUAAUCUGUGGUUUGUCCAUGCAUUAGAUACUAUUUCAUCUCCCUUUUGUAUGAAGAUGCAGGGCAGCUAGAGGAAAUGUGGGGAAAAUUGGCAUGAGUCGAUAGAGACCUGGAAUGGCUUCUAUGUGAUAUGUUCCAUGUGACUGGGAAAGAUGUGGUUGAGGAAUGAUGUCACAGAGGUCCAUGAAAUUGUGCCUGGCUUGAAGAGAGUUUGGCUAUUUCAUCUGCAGUGUGUAAGAGAUAAGCUUUGAAGGAGUCAGGUUCAUCCUGGCAGGAGGAAGUCAUUCUUCAUGCGCCUAGAACAUUCUGUUGUGGGAAGACAGUUGAAGCCCCUCGAAAAGGCUGUGAUCUUCAGGACCUUCUAUUUCAUUGGAUAAGUAGCAAAAAAAAGGCUGCUACCCAAAAUGAAAGAGAUCUGCUUUUAGUUGGAGUUCUCCUGCAGAAGAUCUGGGAAGACAGCUGGUCAUCCUUGCUCCAUUUCUCUGAAAUUUUCUUUCCCUUGAUUGAGGACUAAAAACUAA